GGUGGUUUGAUGCUUGACAGUUUCUGUGGACGCCCGUACCUACCGCUUCCAAUUGCGAUUCCAAAAUCCACCUCCCUUUCCUCCUUCAAUUCCGUCCUCUCUAUCUACUCCUUCAAAUUCAAACCCCAUUUCCUCCCUCAACUCCGAAAAAUUCCCUCAUGCCCAGAACGACGUCCCCGCCAUGCACUGCCACCACCUCCCUCUCCAUAACCGAAACCAUAAACGGCUCGCAUCGAUUCACCAUCCAGGGUUACUCCUUGGCCAAAGGUAUCGGCGUCGGCAAACACAUUGCCAGCGAGAAUUUCACCAUUGGCGGUUACCAGUGGGCCAUUUACUUCUACCCCGACGGUAAGAAUCCCGAGGACAAUUCCUCCUAUGUCUCUGUCUUCAUCGCUCUCGCCAGCGAGGGCACCGAUGUCCGCGCCUUGUUCAAGCUCACCCUUAUUGAUCAGAGCGGUGAAGGCAAGCACAAAGUCCAUAGCCACUUCGAUCGCUCCCUUGAGAGUGGCCCUUAUACGCUCAAGUACCGCGGCAGCAUGUGGGGUUACAAGCGUUUCUUUAGACGGGCAUUGCUUGAAACGUCGAAUUUCCUAAAAGGUGAUUGCUUGAAAAUUCACUGCACUGUUGGGGUUGUGGUUUCUGCAAUAGACUGCUCGAGGCUGCACUCUAUAAAGGUUCCUGAAUCCGAUAUUGGAGCCCAUUUUGGUGCUUUACUGGAGAAUGAGGAAUGUUCUGAUGUUAUUUUUAACGUGCAUGGCGAAAAGUUUCAUGCCCACAAAUUGGUAUUGGCCGCUCGUUCUCCUGUAUUUGAGAGUCAAUAUUUUGAUUCAUUGGAGGAAGAUAAUCGUGAAAUAGUUGUUACAGAUACAGAACCUAAGGUUUUCAAGGCGUUGCUUCACUUCAUCUACAAAGAUACUCUUAUUGAAGAUGAGGAGCUUUCCGUGUCAGCUUCAUCUUGCAUGUCAUCUAUAUACGAUACUUUGGUUGCUAGGCUGUUGGCAGCAGCGGACAAGUAUAACUUACCUAGACUCAGACUAAUGUGUGAAUCUGUACUCUGCAAGGAUAUAUCUGUAACUUCCGUCGCCAAGAUUCUUGCCCUGGCUGAUCGUUAUCAUGCUAUGGAUUUGAAAUCUUUUUGCCUAAAAUUUGCUGCAGAAAAUCUAGUAGCUGUCAUGUGCUCAGACGGUUUCGAGUAUCUUAAAGAGAACUGUCCAUUGCUACAGUCAGAACUCCUAAAGACAGUGGCAGGAUGGGAGGAGGACUUCAGUGGAGGGGGGAAGAGCCGGAGUGUAUGGGCACAGUUUUCAGAUGGGGAUGAUACAAAUGAGAGGAGUGUAAGGCGACAACUGUGGGAAAAUGGGGGGGAAAUAAGCCGGAGCUUGUGGGUCCAGCUUGAUGAGGGUGAUGGUAGCAGGAGCCCUGGGCUAGCAGAAUGAGAAAGAGAAGUGGGUGGGAGAAAGGGACGGAAGGAAAAAGAAGUAAUCUUAUGGUAUCACUCAUACAAUUGGUUUUGCUUUUCAUUUGACGGCAAAAGAUGAUGUUAAAGGCCAAAAGUGUUCUAACAAGGAGCUUGUAUUUUGCCCUGAUGAAGGGGAAAAUGAAAAACUUGUAAUUUGUCAAGACAAAUGGAUCAAAAGAGAGGGGAAAAAUCCCAAUCAUUUCAACUUUUUAAGCACAGAAUAGGUGAUAAUAACUUGUUUCUUAAAUGCUUGCAAAUCAGCAGGCGCGUAUUC
rnacentral:misc_RNA from 1 species